rnacentral:rRNA from 1 species
ACUGAAACAUCUAAGUACCCCGAGCAAAAGAAAUCAACCGAGAUUCCCCUAGUAGCGGCGAGCGAACGGGGACCAGCCGAGCCUUGAGAGUGACUAGAACACGUUGGGAAGCGUGGCCAUAGCGGGUGAUAGCCCCGUAUAGGAAGCUCGAUAGGACGUAUUAAGUAGGGCGGGACACGUGAAAUCCUGUUUGAAGAUCGGAGGACCACCUCCGAAGGCUAAGUACUCCUUACUGACCGAUAGCGAACCAGUACCGUGAGGGAAAGGUGAAAAGCACCCCGACGAGGGGAGUGAAACAGUACCUGAAACCGAACGCCUACAAUCAGUUGGAGGCCCCUUGAGGGCUGACAGCGUACCUUUUGUAUAAUGGGUCAUCGACUUGGUCUUACGAGCAAGCUUAAGCCGUUAGGUGUAGGCGCAGCGAAAGCGAGUCUUAAUAGGGCGCAUGAGUUCGUGGGAUCAGACCCGAAACCGAGUGAUCUAGGCAUGACCAGGAUGAAGGUUAGGUAACACUAACUGGAGGUCCGAACCCACACCUGUUGAAAAAGGUCGGGAUGAGUUGUGCCUAGGGGUGAAAGGCCAAUCAAACUCGGAGAUAGCUGGUUCUCUGCGAAAUCUAUUUAGGUAGAGCGUCAUCCGAAUACCCCGGGGGGUAGAGCACUGGAUGGGUAAUGGGGCCCCACAGGCUUACUGAUCCUAACCAAACUCCGAAUACCCGGGAGUACUAGAUGGCAGACACACCACGGAUGCUAACGUCCGUGGUGGAGAGGGAAACAACCCUGACCUCCAGCUAAGGCCCCUAAUUCAUGGCUAAGUGGGAAAGCAGGUGGGAUGUCCAAAACAACCAGGAGGUUGGCUUAGAAGCAGCCAUCCUUUAAAGAUAGCGUAACAGCUCACUGGUCUAAAUAAGACGUCCUGCGGCGAAGAUGUAACGGGGCUCAAGCCAUGAGCCGAAGCCGAGGAUGCACAUAGUGCAUGGUAGCAGAGCGUAGUGUG